UGAGGAAUAUUGGUCAAUGGGCGAGAGCCUGAACCAGCCAUCCCGCGUGCAGGAUGACGGCCCUAUGGGUUGUAAACUGCUUUUCUGCUCCAAGAAACCUGAUUACGUGUAAUCAGUUGACGGUAGAGUAGGAAUAAGCAUCGGCUAACUCCGUGCCAGCAGCCGCGGUAAUACGGAGGAUGCAAGCGUUAUCCGGAUUCAUUGGGUUUAAAGGGUGCGCAGGUGGGAAUGUAAGUCAGUGGUGAAAUACUGCCGCUUAACGGUAGAGCUGCCAUUGAUACUGCGUUUCUUGAGUAUGGUUGAGGUAGGUGGAAUGUGUUGUGUAGCGGUGAAAUGCAUAGAUAUGACACAGAACGCCGAUUGCGAAGGCAACUUACUAAGCCAUUACUGACGCUGAGGCACGAAAGCGUGGGUAGCGAACAGG
rnacentral:rRNA from 1 species